AUUGAACGCUGGCGGCAUGCCUUACACAUGCAAGUCGAACGGCAGCACGGGGCAACCUGGUGGCGAGUGGCGAACGGGUGAGUAAUGCAUCGGAACGUACCUUUCAGUGGGGGAUAACGUAGCGAAAGUUACGCUAAUACCGCAUAUUCUGUGAGCAGGAAAGCAGGGGAUCGCAAGACCUUGCGCUGAUUGAGCGGCCGAUAUCAGAUUAGCUAGUUGGUGAGGUAAAGGCUCACCAAGGCGACGAUCUGUAGCAGGUCUGAGAGGAUGAUCCGCCACACUGGAACUGAGACACGGUCCAGACUCCUACGGGAGGCAGCAGUGGGGAAUUUUGGACAAUGGGGGCAACCCUGAUCCAGCCAUGCCGCGUGAGUGAAGAAGGCCUUCGGGUUGUAAAGCUCUUUCGGCCGGGAAGAAAUCGCACGGGCUAAUACCCUGUGUGGAUGACGGUACCGGAAUAAGAAGCACCGGCUAACUACGUGCCAGCCGCCGCCGUAAAAC
rnacentral:rRNA from 1 species